CGGUUCUGUGAGUACAGAGAAAUAAAAAAAUAGAGAAGUUAGUAAGUUAUUCUAUAAAAGAUAAGCUGCUUUUCCACUAAACAGCUAGCUUUGAAAAAAAUCUGUCUAACCCAGUACCAUAUUCAUGUAAUUUUAUUAUGAUGAAAACCAAUUUUAUUGGACCUAGUUACUCUGUAUAGGGCCUUGUGUGAUAUUUAAGGUAUUUGGUAUCUCAGUUUUAUCAACAAUUAUGUAAUAAAUCAUAGUGGGAAAAUGGUAUCAUCAUAAUUCAGUACCGUAGCAUCUGUCCCUCAACUGAGCUUCUUAAAGGCAGGUACUAAGGUCUUAUUUGUCCUUAAGUUCCUAAAACUUAACAUAGAUCAAGUUCUUUAGAAGGUACUUUAUUUUUUAAAUUUAUUAGUACAUUUGUGAUCCAUAUUUACUACUUUCACUGUGGGUGUGUGGUACAUGUACAUGGCACCUCUUCAUUCUUCCUUUACAUCCCUUUUCCCACUCCUCUUUCCCCUCUUUUCACCUCCCCAUCUCCUUCCUGUUUGCAGCUGAUCUAGCUGUUUUUUUCAUCUUUAUUUUGUUCUUUUUCAUUUAUACUUGACUUGUAAGAGAUAUCAUACAGCUUGUAUGAUUUCACUUAAGGUGAAUCCAUUUUAAGGUGUAUCCAUUUUCCUACAAAUGAUUCAAAUUAUCCUUUAUAGUAGAGUAGCACUCUAUUGUGUAUAAAUACAUUUUCUUUCAUCUGUUGAUGGACACAGCCUGCUUCCAAGAUUUAGCUAUAAAUUAAAUACUAUAAACAUGGAUAUGUGUGUAUCACUAGCUGCAUCAAACGAAAUUCUAUUUUUAGUUUUUUGAGGAAUUUCCACCAUUAUGAAAAUCAGUCUAGAGACGGAGCUUUAAUAUUGAGUGGUUACCUAUCAAAUUUACAAAUUCAGCUCAAAUUCCUAAAAUGUGUUGCUGGGGGCAGGUAAGAUCUACAUUCAAGAAGAUUAACAAAUAAUAAGUAGAUAUACUUCAAAGAAUAUUUUUGAUUUAGGAGUAAAACAGUCAGUAGGAAUCCAGAAGACUCCAGGAGCCUACCAAUGACAAUAAGCAGUAUACCUUAUUUAGGGAAAUAGGUUUUUGUUUUCAGUACUAGGGAGUGAACCCAGGGCCUCUGCACUGAACUAUACCCCCAAGUCCUCUCCUUAAAAAAAAAAAAAAAAGUUAAGGUGGUGUUUGCUAAGUUGCAGAGCUGCUCAGGCCAGGUUCAAACUUAGGACAUUCCUGUCUAUGGCUCCCAGAGUGCUGAGUAGAAGCCUGCACUGCUACGUCCAGCUAGGUGACUUCUGAUAACUAAGGGUUGAGAAGGAACUAAAGCGAUGGUAAGAGACCUUCUGCUAGCUCUGGACAAGCUGCCAUUUACAUGUUAAAUUAUCCUUUUAACUGUAUGAAAAAGGAUAAACAAAGUUUCAAGGAAGUGAGCUCAGUAAGAUGCAGGCAGGGAGUGGCUGGACAGAGGUACCAGUGUAUUUGUAUCUACUCUGGUGCUGUGUGUGUGUGUGUGUGUGUGUGUUAUUAGGGACUGAAUCCAGGUCCUUGUAUUACUUCCACCAUGAGACUCCAUCUGCAGCCCUUUUUUAUUUUGAGACUGUUGCUAAAUUGCUUGGGAUGGACUUAACUUGUGACCCUGAUGCCUCAGUCUUCUUGAGUCCUGGGAUUACAAGGGUGUGCCAUCAUGCCUGGCUCCCUAGCUAUUUUUAAAUUUUAUUUUAAAACUAUCUCACUAAAUUGCCGAGGCUGGCCUGGAACUGGAAUCCUCCUGCCUCUGCCUCCUGAGUAGCUGCGAUUACCCCGACACUUGCCAUCAUACCCAGUUUGGCGCUGCUUUUGGCAGAAAUAAUCUGGAACUCAAAUUUAUAAUUAAGCAUUAAUUUUUGCAUGAGUUUUACAGCUUGUUGUUUACAAGGACGAGGUAAAAUUUAAAGACAUGUCUAUAAUAGGUCUUAGUAACUUUUACCCAUCCAUAUUAUUUAGAAAUGGCUGUAAAGUAAUGUUUCCAUAUCUUGCGGUAAGAGUGGCAGGUGAGGCAGGCUGCAGUGCUGCCACCUCCCUUACAGCAGUGGCCAUUCAGUAACACAUGGCAUUUCCUUCCAGAAAACAAGCUGCUUUUUCCUAUUAGGAAAAAACUUAGUAUGAUUAAUUGUAGGUUUUUACUACAGGUUUGGGGUAGACUGUCAGCGUAAACACCUGUGUCUAGGAAACUAAAAGAACAAUUACCUUUUAUCAAUACAUUUAUCAAUGUUCUUUGGUGUUUUAAAUAAAGAAAAGGUUUACUUAAUGAAAUUAGCUGAAAGAUGACCAUUACCUGUCUGUAUCCCAGUUACUUCGGGAGUGAAAAAAAGCAGGAAUUUGUGUGUAUGUGGUAGUGGAGAUUGACCCCAGGGCUUUUGUACUGAGCUAUCCUCCCAGCCCUUCCUCCUUUUUCAUUUUGUGACAGGGCAUUGCUAAGUCAUCAAGUUCCCUAGGAUAGGCCUGAACUUGUGAUCCACCUGCCUCAGCCUUCCAGAGUGCUAGAAUGACAGUGCAUCAUAGUGUCUGCAAAGUAGCUGACACUCACUCAAUAGCUACUGAGAAUCGAUCAAAGGAAAAUAAACCCAAGACCUUCAGCCCAGUAUUGACAGCUAUAUCGCUCUCAACAAGAUAAAGAAAGUGAGACUGAGAGAGAACAAGUAACUGGACCAAGGGAUUCUGCAGCCUGCAGCAACAAUGGGGUUCCCUUCGCUGUAUCUUGGAUAUUAAGAAAAUGGGCACUAAGAAAACUCAGACUUCAUAUAUGUACUCAGCUUUAAUACUCGCCAUGGAAGUACCUUAAACAGUGAUGCCUUGCACUGUUUCAUUGCAAAUUUGUUUUACUACUGAGAAAAGCAAAAAAUGAGGUGAUAGAGUAACAGAAUUAGGUAAAGCCUGCCUACCUGCUGAUGCUCUUAUUUUAGGGAAAGCCAGAAAGUACUAAUUUUAUUACAUGAAAAAAUUUUAAAUGCUUUUGGCUCCUUCUCUAGAUCGGUAUCAUAUCUGGUUGCUCCAUUCACAGCCUUCCAUUCAUAUGCAAGAAUAUGAAUUAAAAUGCACAAUAAAUACCAA